AGAACGAACGCUGGCGGCAUGCCUAACACAUGCAAGUCGAACGAGACCUUCGGGUCUAGUGGCGCACGGGUGCGUAACGCGUGGGAAUCUGCCCUUGGGUUCGGGAUAACAGUUGGAAACGACUGCUAAUACCGGAUGAUGUCUUCGGACCAAAGAUUUAUCGCCCAAGGAUGAGCCCGCGUAAGGAUUAGCUUGUUGGUGAGGUAAGAGCUCACCAAGGCGACGAUCCUUAGCUGGUCUGAGAGGAUGAUCAGCCACACUGGGACUGAGACACGGCCCAGACUCCUACGGGAGGCAGCAGUGGGGAAUAUUGGACAAUGGGACGAAAGCCUGAUCCAGCAAUGACCGCGUGAGUGAUGAAGGCCGUUAGGUUAGUAAAGCUCUUUUACCCGGGAUGAUAAUGAC
rnacentral:rRNA from 1 species